rnacentral:rRNA from 1 species
GACGAACGCUGGCGGCGUGCUUAACACAUGCAAGUCGAACGGUAAGGCCCUUUCGGGGGUACACGAGUGGCGAACGGGUGAGUAACACGUGGGUAAUCUGCCCUGCACUUCGGGAUAAGCCUGGGAAACUGGGUCUAAUACCGGAUAUGAGCUCUCACCGCAUGGUGGGGGUUGGAAAGUUUUUUCGGUGCAGGAUGAGCCCGCGGCCUAUCAGCUUGUUGGUGGGGUAAUGGCCUACCAAGGCGACGACGGGUAGCCGGCCUGAGAGGGUGAUCGGCCACACUGGGACUGAGACACGGCCCAGACUCCUACGGGAGGCAGCAGUGGGGAAUAUUGCACAAUGGGCGGAAGCCUGAUGCAGCGACGCCGCGUGGGGGAUGACGGUCUUCGGAUUGUAAACCCCUUUCAGUAGGGACGAAGCGCAAGUGACGGUACCUGCAGAAGAAGCACCGGCCAACUACGUGCCAGCCGCCGCCGUAA